rnacentral:rRNA from 1 species
GAUGAACGCUAGCGGCAGGCUUAACACAUGCAAGUCGAGGGGCAGCAUCAAUUGCUUGCAAUUGGAUGGCGACCGGCGCACGGGUGCGUAACGCGUAUAGAAUCUGCCUUGUACAGGAGGAUAGCCUUUAGAAAUGAAGAUUAAUACUCCAUAAUGUUGGGAUGUGGCAUCACAUUUUAAUUAAAGAUUUAUUGGUACAAGAUGACUAUGCGUCCUAUUAGCUAGAUGGUAAGGUAACGGCUUACCAUGGCUACGAUAGGUAGGGGGUCUGAGAGGAUUAUCCCCCACACUGGUACUGAGACACGGACCAGACUCCUACGGGAGGCAGCAGUGAGGAAUAUUGGUCAAUGGAGGCAACUCUGAACCAGCCAUGCCGCGUGCAGGAAGACGGCCCUAUGGGUUGUAAACUGCUUUUAUAUGGGAAGAAACCGAGUUACGAGUAACUCCUUGACGGUACCAUAAGAAUAAGCACCGGCUAACUCCG